CAGGUGCAGGGAAAUAUCAGUUCCUUUCUUCAUCUGCUCUGGACCCCACAAGACAGCUCGCUGGAGACUGAUCUCCUCCCUCCCACUAAAUCAGGAGAGAGAAGAGCGUUUCCUCCCUGUGAGAGAAGGGGAAACAGAAAUGCAGAGAAGACAAGCCAUGUUUCAAAAGAAAUACAGCUAAGUUAGCCCUACUGAGACAUGGACUGGAAGUACAAGACUCUGCCUAGGAGAUUUGGAGGCAAAAGCCAAGUUUCCUUGUACACCGUCCCUCUCUCUGAAGCUCCCGCUGGACCUCCAGGGGGAUCAGGAACUUCUAGUUGGGCUAUCACAUGGGCGAGCUGACCGGCCCUGUCCUUCCACUCAUGGCAGCCACAGUGAUCUGGCAAAAUGUAAGUCAGUUCCUAUCACUUGUCUGCUUGAAACUCUCCACUGGUUUUCCAUCACACUUACAAGGAAACCCAGAUUCCAGACUUUGAGGUGCAAGGCCUUCAGGAUGUGCUCCCUGGCUUUCCGUUGACCUUAUCUCCUCCCCUUACUUUAGCCACAAGGGCCUCUUUGUGUCCUUGAAUUUGGCGCUUGAUUUCACUUGGGAUUCUUUUGCAUCUGCUGUUCCUUCUGCCUAGAUCUCUUUGCUUCAGAUCUUCACAUGUUACUCACUCCCUCAUUUCACUCAGGUCUCUGCUCCAAUGUCACAUUCUGCAAGAAAUCUUCUCUGAACACCAAAAAUGACCUCUUAUUUUUGCUUCCCGACCAACCAGAGCUGAUACUGCCCAUAGCUCUAGAGCAGAUCUUUUAGGUGCUGGAUUUUUGGGAGGUCCUAGAGGCCUGGGAGAGAGUCUAGUAUGGCCACAGUGGGAGGCUGGGGACAGGGGAAAGGGGAAUGGAGGAUGACUUGGGGUAGCAGCUAUUUACCACCUGGUAGAGGUGACCUCAGUAUUUUCAUCAGUAUGGCUACAUCAGCACACACAACUGUAUCACUAGGGCCUAGAGCUGUGCCAGACAAACAGCAGGCAGUCAAUCAAUAUUUGUUUAAUUAGUUAAGUAAAAGGGAAAAAUGGACAGAGAAAGCAACAUUUCAAGGUAAGGAAGUCCAAACAGGUAGCAUGAGGCACAAGGAAGAAAGGUAGAGAGGUGUUCCUGGCUAUGGGGGGUUGAUGUUGGAAGCUAGGGGAGUGGAGAAGAACCAGUCUCCCUCUUCAGAGGUUGCUGCUUCUUAUGCACCUCAGGGAAAAGAGGUUGCCCUUUGGAAGGUGCUCUUCUGGUCUGCUGUGGCUGCACUCACUCUGCUGAGAUUGGUCUGCUCCUCCAGGAAUCUGGUUCAGCUCCACGCAGGUGGUGGGCAGCAGAUAGAAAAUGUGAGGUAGGCUCCCCACAUUUGGUUUAAUGCUUUGCUGUUGCUAUCUUGAAAUUCUUGAUUUUUGCACAGGGGCCCCCUGCAUUUCCAUUUUGCACUGGGCCCUGUGCAUUAUGUAGCUGUGCAUUAUGAGUGUACCAUUCCAUAAGACAAGAAAACAGCCUGCCCAAGUUAACCCCCAGCCCACAGACAAACUAAGGUUUCUCAUUAUCAGGGAAACAGCCAAACCCUGGGCCUGCCUGUGUAGCAAAGUGAAGCUCAUCACCCAGCCUUAGACCCUCUGGUGGCCACACAAAAUUAGGCAGAAGCUUUGAAGAGCUGCUUUUCCGUAUCUCAGGCGGGCCUCCUCAUUUUGUUCUCAGGGAGCACUGAAGCAGGAGGAGGAUAUAGAACUCUCCAGUAUAACGAGCGACCCCGCAGAGGCCUAGGUGGGUAGAACGCAUGGGGGGAGGGGACAGCCUGUGCACAUGCACACACAUGCAUUCAUGCCUCAGGUUUUUGGUUUUGACUUAGUGUUUUAAAAAAUUUUUUGUUUGUCACUGAUUGGCUAAAGAUGUCCUGACAACUGAAUUCUGGUCUUCCAGUUUGGGAAGCUCAAAGAGUUUCCUCACAGACAUUGGACUUUGCCUCCCAAGACUUGGGGUAAGGUAGAAGAGAAAAGGAUGACUGAGUUUAAGGCUGGGCUGAGCAGAGUUCCAAUACCUGCAAGUUCUUAUGUUUUUCCUGGGAUUAUGAAGUCCCUGCAGACAAGGUCUAUCUUGUAGUUGUCUCAAUACACCUAAUUACUUUUUAACCAGUUAAUUAAUCCACCAGCCCAUUCAACAACUACUGCCAGAGUCCCGGCUAUGUGAUGGUCACGUUUGUAACCUGUGAGGAUAUACACCUGUGAGGAGCACUUCUCUGGGUUUCAGCCUGUGCCUGCAGCUCUCUUCCUUGACCUCAAACGUAAUACACUCAAUGUGGGCUCAUGUGCUGUGGCCCUGCCUGGGUCCCAUCCAUUUUUAGCACCAUUAUGCAGAGAGGCUACUUAGAAUGGCAGAGAGCAUGGGCUUCAGACUUGCUCUCUAUGGUGAGGACUGGCCAUGCCCCCCUACUCACUGUGCCUCAGUUUCCUCAUAAGGUAGAAUGACACAUACUAUUAUGACCAACUGUCUAGGUACUCGAGCCAGAAAAUCGGGAGUCCUAUUUGAUUCCUCCUUCUGCUCCAACCCCGAUUCCAAGUCUUGUUAUAUUACCUUCUAAAUGGUCAAAGAAUCCAUUCAGUGCUCUCUUCAUUAUUAAAGUCCUGGUCCAAGCCACCAUCAUCUGCCAACUGGACUAUUACACUUGUCCACUAUUUAGUCAUUCUAUUUCCACCCUUGUCUGUUCUGUUCUCCACGCUACAGCUAAACUGUCUUUCCAAAACAUCGAUCUCAUCAUGUCACCCUGCCAACAAGACCUUCAGGGUUUCCAGACUCUGCUCACACCACACUCUCCCCACUCCCUUCGCUCUCUGCUCUGCCAGCAGGGGCACCAGUGACAUUUUGGGCCAGAUAAUUAUUUGUUGUGAGGGAUUGUCCUGUGGGUUGUAGGAUGUUUAGUAGCAUCUCUAGCUUCUACCUACUAGAUACCAAUGACAACCCUUCCCCUAAGUUGUGACAAAAAAAAAAAAUCUCCAAAUGUGACUGAAUGUCACCAUUGUCAGAUA